AUCGCAGAUUAAGGGUCGAAGCAUAUUCGUACACCAUAGUGAGUUGUGUUCAUUGAAACCACAUCAGUGGUUGACGGGCGAGAUUAUUCAGGCACUGAUGCACAUCAAUGCUUUCGCAUUGAAUGUGGCUGACAGAAUUUAUCUAAUGGACCACUACACUGCUGGAGUAAUUCUGACUGGGGACAGGGCGUCUGUACGCCGCCAAAGUUUACCGAAGGUAAACUUUGACAACUAUGAAGCCAUUAUAUCAUUCAUCCACGUCAGAAAUAACCACU